GCACUGGUGGCGUUCUACGAAUUUGCGCCGCGUGUUUGUGCGGGUAAACUUAAGCGCAGAAUUUUUUUUUUUUUUUGCGCGUUAUGAAAACAAUGCACUGCAGGUAUUUUAAUUAAUGCAACGAGCUGUAUGAAAUAUCAGUCAAGGGGUUGGAAACAUCGCUAUAGAGAAUCCCGACUAUUUUCUUUUGCGUGUGUGUAUUUGGAGUUGAUGCACAGUUUUCUUUAUUUACUUAUUUUGGCUACAUUGCGCCAAUUGCGCUUCCAUAGAAUAAAGAAACGCGCUUCCGCGCGCUUGCCGACUCGAUCGCAAGGGGACAGCCUGAUCAACAUCAAUAUCAGCAGCAAUGGCGGAUUUGCGCUUGCCGUGGCGCUUGCGAAGUUUUCAAUAGUUUUCGCCUUAUAAGUGAUUCUUUUGCUAUUUUAACGUGUGGAGGUUCAUUGUACGUUUGUUUUUUCAAGUUUGGCAUGUGUUUUAACACAUGUGAAGGUGUAGUCUUUUCUUCUUCAGCGGAUAUAUGUACAAGACCCCGUUCACCGUCUAUCAGUGGACUCGCUGUUCUGUAGCAUUAUCCCUGGCAGCGGAAGCACUGUCCCAGAGCUCUAAAGAGUCAUCGGAAGCACAGUGCUAAACCUUCAUCCUUGAAAUGUGAAGAACGUCACUGGACAGGACGAGAGAUGACAAGGUGAGACUGAUUGGGGCAAUGUUGUGGUGAUGGGUGCCACCUGGUUGAGCGCACAGUAUGGUCCCCUGUCCUGAGAAAAGCUUUUCUGGGAGCUCUACACAGUGGAAAGGGGACCAGAGAAGUACAAGCGCACCAGGGGAGAAAUGAAAGUCGCAUUGUGAAGCAUGGUACUGUCAUUUCUGGUUGCUUCAUGACGCAGUAAUGAUAGUCGCAGCACAAUAUUUUCAAUUUAUUCUGGCAACUCACGAUAUGCAAGUGAAUGCUGCUUACUCUGAUCAUGUGGCUGCGUUUCAGUGCUUGGAUAUUUAAGGCCACGUUGCAAAAUGCACAAGAGAUUUAUAAUCGACUUCGUAUACACAGAAAAUACAAGAACAGUUCUAAUAGCACUGAAAAGACAGAGCAUUCAUGGCGUCGUUCAAGCUCAGUGUCCGUGAGCGUGCACAAGAACUAGUCUAACUGAUGUUAUGACUGGCCUGUGUGGUCAACGAUUUGUGUCGCGCCACCAAAGCAACAGCGAAAGGCUGGACCCUUUAGAUACGCCGAGCCGCCUGCAACCGUUGGAAAACGCCUAGGAGGCCCCAAUAGCAAUAAGACCUUAUCAUUUGUGCAGGCAUUUUCGCCUUCUUACCCACGGCUUGCACAACACCCUGAUGUCUGCUUAGUCUCCACAGUGUUGUCUCCCUUCAGCAAGUGGGACGAUUAAGCUUCGUGUGUGCAUUCGUUAUUUCUCUUUGUCCUCGGCAGGGAAGAUGCCAGCGUUGUGUGCGUGUGUGUGUGUGUAUGCGCAUGUCAGUGCCUUUCCUUCUACUGAGCCAGUGGGGGUUAGAAAAUUAGUUGAACACUUCCAUGUAUCGAGCGGCAGCCGCCAGCGUGGAGAGUGUUUUCUCUCUCCUUUUCUUGAGCGAGGGUAUUCCAAACACUAUAAAGGACGUCUUCGCUAAUGGACUUCAGCCUUCAGUUUUUGAGCAAACUAGCAUGUCUGUCGCUCACCAUCGGGAAACUUGCAGAGUUGACCACUCCGUAACAAUGUGAAGUAAACAUUCAUUGCUACUCGUUGAAUUGUUGCCGUAUCUCCUGCCUGGCCCCCUCGGCACUCAUGAGCCGCUGCAAAAUGCAGUCAGCGGCACGAUCCGACAACCAAUGGUAAGCUCCAGACCACCAAGCCCACGCUACUUCCACAGUCUUGGGUUCCCAUCUUUAAUACGGAGCAGCAACAAAAAAAGAAUUGACAUCUGUGAAUAAGGUAUGCGGAUGUGGGCUGCUUCCCUUGAACAUAGGAGGCAAAUGCCUUCAGGAAGUUCAGUUGCACUUUGUUAUAUGAAAAGGCGUCUCACCAAGAUUGGAAGUUGCAAACCGACAAGUGCAGUGCAUAGAUCACACACUAACAAUCCUGUCUCCAAAUUAUCAAAAUGAUGCACAGUGGGAAAACAACUGAAAUUUUAAACAAAAGCCAUCAUGGUCUCAACGAAGCCCUGCUUCAGCCAGAGUCAAGGUUACAUGCACAAAUGUCUCUAUGUAAAACGUGCUGCCUGCAAUAUCACCAACCAUGGCACGUGACUUUCGUAAGCCAACCAAUGUUAAAUGCCAUCCCUGGAUAUGUGCCCCACAGCAAAAAAGGAAGAGAAGAAAAAAAGGAAAGAAAAGACGGCUCGUAAGCGAGUAUGACGUGAACCCUUGGCUCCGUCAUGGGGGAAGAUGAAGAAGGAAGAUCACUAGGAGGCAAAGGGGCUGAGUGCCGUCACUUUUAGCACUCGCGUCCUGGCAGCGUGAAAAUGCAACAUUUCAAUUUCUUCCAUUUCCUUUAAUAAUGAACUAAUUAGAAAUAUUUGUUUGAGGAAAUGCUCCCUUGACGGCAUCUUACAACUUCCAAUGUACCUAUAACUAAAAUUUGCCAUGGUGCUUAAUGAGAGGGGCUUUUCAGCCCAAAUUAGAUCCUGCAGACUAUAGUACUGUAUGGAAAAUAUGGUACAUGGAACUGUAAAAUUUAAUUUUCCACAGCAAUUUCUACCUGUGCAGUUGGAGUUGGCUUUGUCAUAGCAUAGAUAUGAGGACCGUGAAACAACCUUUAUUCCCUAAAGAUCCUGUCCUGUAGUAUAUUUGAGCAUUUACAUAAAGGCAUGGAGACCCUCAGUGUGUUGCAAUCUAAGUGGCAGCAUAUAGGUGGUGUGUGCUGCCUGUAGAGAUGCCACUGUAAGCCAUCUAUGUAUUGGCGGAUUUCUGAAUUGUGGAUGGGAGAAGGCUCAUGGCUGCUCUGCCUUUGCACCAAGCACUGCAGAGCACAGUGCUACAAUUUUCUGUUUGUGCAGUUCGAAGAAAAUUAUUCCUGCAGUGGCAGUGACUACACAGAAAAUGCACCCUACGAGAGUGGACAGAGUUCCAAUGUGACUGUGGUUUGAAAUGGUCCAGCCCCUGUGUAUACAAGCACCGAUUUUCCCAGACAAGUGUGACAGUGCCUGGCUUUGAAUGCAGUGUGCUGCUUCAUAAAUAUUGCAGUUGCCCAGCACUAAGCUGCCUGGAUUAUGUGGUUGCCAUAAUGACUUCUCUGUACCCGUGGGACAAAUAUUUGCACUCGAAAUAGCGACAGCAGCCAUGCAUUUCCUGCUGACAUAGAAUUAGGUUCCACAAUGUCAUCUGAUGUAUGCACAUGCUGUGAUGUGGUUGGUGUGGCCAUGCUCUUUUUUCCUCCCUUCAAGUAUGCUGGUAAACUGCCACUAGUUACAGAUGUCUGCAAGGAGUGCACACUGUGUGAGUGCUGCACAUGAAUUGAAAUUACGAUCACCACAGUGAUGAUAAAGGACACAUUGAAAGGUAAUCUGACAACACUUAUCAAGACUGUCUACAAGUUUUCUGUGAGAGAUUUCCUCAGGGUUGACAAAAACCAUCUUAGGGACCAUUUAAUGGGGUGUAACCGCCCACAUUAUGAGAUGGAAGAAAAGGAAGCCAUUAGGAUUUCUCUGGUGGUGCAAGGUGCUCAAAUAGAUGGCUUUGAUUGCAGUAGACAUAAAUAUUAUCAUUCUUUCUGUCUGGGCACAUAACUUCUUUGCCAACCUCUCUGUCAUCUCUGUAGCACAUUAAUUUAGGAUAGUAACUCCACUCUGACGCAGGAGAUAAAAGUGCAUGCCAGACAUGCUGACCACACUGACUUGGAGAGUGCCACUUUCUUAAAUGUGGCAAAAGUCUGUGUUUUGGGCGAAAUAAGAGCUCAUAGGCAAUUUUUAUCUGUGAUAAACAGAAAUAUGUGCUGCCAGUGGUCAGACGUCAUUGAGGUCGAGCUUCUCAAGCAAGUAGAUGCCAUCGAGAAGACCAAAGAAGCCAGUGAUUAGCCAUUGUGCGCAGCAGCUUCAAAUGGCAAAGUCCAGCUGGGAUUUCUCUGCACAAGGUCACCAAGUGGCAUUCCUAAGUAACAGAUAUUUUUUACCCUAAACUGCUACCCUAGAGUGGCUGGAACAUGCACCGUUCGUUCCAAGCAUGCAGCUGUUAUCAAAGCUUAGUUUAGUCAAUUAUUGAGGCUUAAGAUCGUUUUAAUGAUGUACAGUAGAAAACAAUUGUAAAAGAAUGUAAAAAAAAUUUGAACUGUGUUGACUCUUUGGUGGCAUACUGUUGCUAUUCCUGAAGUUACGUCCUCAAAUGACUUAUGCUCCAGGUAUUUGAGUAAAAACUAUGGGUGUGGAAAUAUCAAUUUUUUAAUUUCAAAGCUAAUUCGAAUAAUGAAACCUAAGUGCGAAGCGAAUAUUUUUCGAAUAUUAAUACUAUUGGUAUUGCAAAAAUCCAUUUCUUUUCACCAACCAGAGGUGCAAAAUAGUUAUACUACAUAGACUGCAUAGCAAAUAAUGUACAGGGAUAUUAUGCUUCGUGGUUAACAAAAUUCUCUAAUACAACACUUUUGUUUGACAAUGUCAUAAUUGUAGUUACUUAAUGUUUCAUGAAGCAAGGACAACAGCUCAACAUGUUCGAAGAGCAGUGACACCUAGUGCAUGUCACCAUCGAUUCAGACAUCAAAAAGAGCUGCUUAAGUGUCUGGUAUCAGCAGGUCGCCCUUCGCAAGCCGAGCCAACAGUGGGCACCACGCUUACACCAUCGCUCAAACGGAUCUUCUUUUUGGACCAAAAUGUCAUCAUGCAAAUAUCUUUAAACCUGCGAUUGUGGUAGUGAAAAUUUCUGCCACGAGUGAAAAUUUCUGCUGGUUGAUAAGCUCAUCAGAGUCUUUCCACAGUGCUGAUGUGGAAGUGGCCCGUUCAGAAGCUUUUGUUGUUGAAUGCAUACUUCGGUUCCUUGGUGAUGAAAUUACCCUUCCUUUCUCUAAAUCCAAGGGCGAGAUCUCGCAUUCUGAAUGUUUGCUUGCGCUCUCAUUAUUCGCCUUCACUGUGCUUUCGUCAGCGGUCGUCUGCUUGGUGAAGCGGGAGCGCCAAUUGAACACUGCCUACUCACUGAUGUAGGAGGUGAAGCAAACAUUCAGAAAGUUAGAAGCUGGCGCAAUUUCAUCUCAGGUUGUUAAUCCAGUUUGACAUUGAAGCAUCCUGGUAGUAUUAAAGUACUUUAGAAUGAGGUUCCAGAAGCAUUGCCAAGUUUGCCACUUGGUGAAAUUUGUAGUUUGGAACAAUUUAGGCUCUUGGCAAGAUUAGCAGUGAACACAGAGGUUUACACAUGGCGAUUGGUGUUGUCCAAAUGCAUGAAGAGGUCACAGUAUAGGUACUUAAGCUAGUGUCGGGUAACCAUAAGCACCCGCAGGGGCCCCGUGACAGUGUCUCCUUUAACUUCAGAUAUGCUUCACUGCUUGAUGAUAAAUAUGCUUCGCCGCAUAACACGACUCUGCUGCAGCAAAGGUGACUUAAACCGACAACAGCCGAGAAGGUGCAAAUCGCACUGCGCUGCCUGGUUCUUGCUGUUGGCCUUAUUUUUCUUCUUUUCACAGUGUCCUUACUGUAAGUGCACUCCAGAGUUACAAUGCAGGAAUAUGCAUGUGUGCACAAGCUUUCUUUCAAGAGUAACUCACGAUCAUAAGUUACGUCAUCAUGGUUUCGUACUAUGUUACGGCAUCAUAAGCGAGACAUAAUAAAGGGGGUCUCAAAGGCUGCGGGAGAGACUAAUCUUUUGUGCGAGAUUGUGCUAUCCUUGCUGCACGCAGUGCAAUAUUAUGACUCUCAUGUCUAUGGUGGCAUUGUCGAUUAUGAAUGUUUCCUUACUGCGUUAAAAAAAUGUGUAGUGCAUCUUUCAGAUAAUAAUGGCAUUAUAGCUUCAGAGUUGUUCCAAGUUUUGGGGACUUGUUCACUAAAAGUACAUUAUUAGAAAAGCUUUAGAAUGUCUAGGUCAUAAUUGCAUUUGAAGAACUGUAAGUCUUCCUACACAUAGCAAUUAGUAGCUUACUGUGCGAUGUUGAAGGUGGUUUUUAUUCAUAGGCCCUACGCAGAGAGCAGCAACACAAUGCCUGGCAUGUGACCAGGGUUCGUAACAGUGUUUGCAUUUCCAGUGCUCGUAACUGAUUCCAGUAUUAGUGCAUAAAUUUGCUUUAUGAAUUCUUUGUAGACAGAAGGUGCUUGAAUAUUGGUUGCAUGAAAUGCUCCAAUGCACUGUAUACGUAUAGGGCGUCUUUUAUUACCGUACAGAUUUUCUUGUUUUCAAGUUAUGAGCGCGGAAAAUGUGGCAUUCUUGCAGAGGAAUUCCUCUAAUGCACUCUCAUUUCUUACAAAUCUUGAAAGUUGCACCUAAUUCAAGAUAUUCAUCAUUGAAUUUCACUGGCAAAUCGAGGCAAUAUUGGAACUGAGUGUGCUGGGAGUGCAAAAAAGAAGGUCCCGCUAUCUCAUCAGAUGGAAACAUCUUGGCCAGUCAUUGUAGCUGCUGAUACGACACACUUUGCCUGGCAAGCAUGUGCGUCAGUGUGCCAUAUCAGGCUAUCAUUUAAGCUUUGUCCCACACUUCUUGACAGGGCACUGCCGCCUGAUGUGGAGGAGGAUGCACCAAGUUUUGAUUGUACUCAAUUGAGCGUGAUAAUGAAUAUCUCAAAAUAAGUGCAAUUUUCGAGAUUUAGAAAAAGAAAGGGUGUGCGUUCACAUGCGACUGCCUCCAAAUAUGCCAUUUAGAAGGCUGCCGCCAAGUUACUAAUAAAAAAAGUGACUGAAUUUUUCAAAAUUAAUUUUCUGAAACUCGCAUUAUUAGCAGCAUAGUGUGUCCACCUCACCUAGAAACUCCUUUGCAAAAACGCUGGGCUCUCCGUGCUCAAAACUUUUUGCUAAAUAUCUGCACGGUUAAAAAAAAGUAGAUAUGCACAAUUGUUUAUGCAUGAAAGUCGUACACUAUUUCAAGAUUUUUGCCCUUCUAUGCAACACCAGAAAAAUUGGAAAUAGAAGCUUCAGGUGACCUAUCUGAUUUGUUGCAAGUUGCAUGGCCAUAUUAUUGUUUUAAUUUUUCGCCAUUCCCUUUUACUGUGAUGUCACCACUGCAGCUGCUCAAUGGCUGUGGCUUUUCAUUCCAGGUCACAAAGCUGCACCCAGGUAGAGGCAGAUUCCAAAAAUGCUUGUGUACUUAAGUAUAGCUGCACAUUACAGAAGCCGUAGCCCUCUUGUAGCCGAGUUCCUUAUAUUUUAUUGGGAUUGAAGAGCAACGUUUGUGCUAUAUCCCUCUAUUUCAGACGAAAUAAUGUGCAUAAAAUUAUAUCUUCAUUACUUUACACCAUAGUACCAAUAUCUGUCGUGCGUUGAUUUUUGAUGUCUUUGCAUUUGCUAUAGCAAGGAUUUUUAAACAUCAGCCACAAAAGAAAAAAUAAAUGGUCAAAGAACCAAGAAAUGGUGUGUCGCAGCUCCCUUCUUUUUUUAAUUGGCGGCAAGUUUUGCACUCGUGUACUUCAAAAGAAGUGUUACCUUCCUGCUUUGGAACUUUGUGGUUUUGUUCUGCCAGCUGCUUGACCAAAACAAGCAAAAUGUACUUCGGAUAUUCCACAAUUCUGUAUGCAUUUGGUACAAUAAAAUUUGUUUCAAGAAUGGACAAA